rnacentral:rRNA from 1 species
CCUACGGGAGGCAGCAGUGGGGAAUAUUGCACAAUGGGCGCAAGCUGAUGCAGCCAUGCCGCGUGUAUGAAGAAGGCCUUCGGGUUGUAAAGUACUUUCAGCGGGGAGGAAGGUGUUGUGGUUAAUAACCGCAGCAAUUGACGUUACCCGCAGAAGAAGCACCGGCUAACUCCGUGCCAGCAGCCGCGGUAAUACGGAGGGUGCAAGCGUUAAUCGGAAUUACUGGGCGUAAAGCGCACGCAGGCGGUCUGUCAAGUCGGAUGUGAAAUCCCCGGGCUCAACCUGGGAACUGCAUUCGAAACUGGCAGGCUUGAGUCUUGUAGAGGGGGGUAGAAUUCCAGGUGUAGCGGUGAAAUGCGUAGAGAUCUGGAGGAAUACCGGUGGCGAAGGCGGCCCCCUGGACAAAGACUGACGCUCAGGUGCGAAAGCGUGGGGGAGCAAACAGGAUUAGAUACCCUGGUAGUCCACGCCGUAAACGAUGUCUACUUGGAGGUUGUGCCCUUGAGGCGUGGCUUCCGGAGCUAACGCGUNAAGUAGACCGCCUGGGGAGUACGGCCGCAAGGUUAAAACUCAAAUGAAUUGACGGGGGCCCGCACAAGCGGUGGAGCAUGUGGUUUAAUUCGAUGCAACGCGAAGAACC